CAGAUACCAACCUCCCAAGUCAGUGUGAGGCUAUCAAAGACUUCCGUAGGUUUGCGUCUGGCUAACCUACCAUCGGAAAGAUUUGGUGGCAGAGGAGAGCGCCAGAAAGUUCCAAGGCAACCAUCCUGCAUCGGUAAACACAGACAAGCCUACAGCUGCCGGCACACAACUAAAGUACCCUCCUGCCCAACACAGGAGAUUACCGCUCCUUGUAACCAGUCAAGCCUCUCCUUAAAGAGGGCUUUAGUGCCCAAUUAUGUCUCCAUAGAAACCUGAGAAGCAUGAGCAAGUUCAUCAGCAUAUCUCCGACCUCCCCUCCCCGCGCGCGGUGCUGAGCAGACCUGUGCAGGACCAACCUGUGUGGAAAAUGACAGUGUUUUUCCUGAGCCCCGAAGGAAGCCGGAGGUUUCGAAGCAGUCCUUUGGCGGUUAGGCGGACGUGGAUGGUGGAUAAGGAGAAUUUGGGAGACAACAGCAUGUCUUCGAAGCCAGUGGGAGAACUUCGCAGGGGAAGCAGCUUUUCCAGGGACCAUCACAUACUGUGUCUCUUGGCAACUCGGGGUUCUUCCAGGCCAAGAGAUACAGCCAGAGAAAAACAAGCUUACAUGCUAAUGCCAGGCCACCCAGAUUGGGGGGUGCGUGGGGGGGGGGGUAGCUAGAGUUAGCUAUCCCAGAGCUCCAGGCUUCCGUUUGCUCUUCCAGAUGUUGCUAACAAACAAUGCCCUUCGUCUGAGCAAGAUCUGUGAGGAGCAGCUCAGGAAGCAAGCAGCCUGAAUUACAUCACACUGUGCAUGCCGCGGGUUGUUGUGGUUCCCGACUGGGAUGGAAAGGGGAGGAGAAAGUGGGUGGUCUCGGGAGCUUUAUGUAACAGCCAAUGAUGUCGCAGGUCCUGUCACUAUUUGGAACGGGGCGAAAUGAAAUAAACCACCUCACAUGCC
rnacentral:lncRNA from 1 species